rnacentral:lncRNA from 1 species
UACUUUCCGAGUGUAGCCUCGGAGUUGGCCUUGCAUCUGGUAAGGAAUGCAGCUUGCGCCUUCUGUACAUUCUCCUCCUUUCCGGCCCAAGCCUUGAGGGUGCUCUGCUGAAGAGCACGUCCAAAGGAGAAUGAAAGCGACCAUGGCUUCUUGGUUUGGAGCUUGUUCAUGGCGUUCAGGUUGACGGUGGCCUCCUCUUCACUUUGACCACCAGACAAGAACACCACAGCGGGAACAGCAGCCGGCAUUGUGCGCUGCAAGGCACGGAUGGUGUACUCAGCAAUCACCUCUGGUGCAACCUUGGCUGCUUCAGAACCAGGAGUGACCAUGUUAGGCUUCAACAAGGUACCCUCGAGGAGUACAUGGUGGUCAUUGAGAGCCUUGUAGCAAGCAGCAAGAACACGCUCGGUAACAUCAGCGCACUUGUUAAUGUCAUGGGAUCCAUCAACGAGGAUCUCAGGCUCAACAAUGGGUACA